rnacentral:rRNA from 1 species
CCUCUUUCAGCAGGGACGAAGCGAGAGUGACGGUACCUGCAGAAGAAGGACCGGCCAACUACGUGCCAGCAGCCGCGGUAAUACGUAGGGUCCGAGCGUUGUCCGGAAUUAUUGGGCGUAAAGGGCUCGUAGGCGGUUCGUCACGUCGGGAGUGAAAACUCGGGGCUUAACCCCGAGCCUGCUUCCGAUACGGGCAGACUAGAGGUAGGCAGGGGAGAGCGGAACUCCUGGUGUAGCGGUGGAAUGCGCAGAUAUCAGGAAGAACACCGGUGGCGAAGGCGGCUCUCUGGGCCUUACCUGACGCUGAGGAGCGAAAGCGUGGGUAGCGAACAGGAUUAGAUACCCUGGUAGUCCACGCCGUAAACGUUGGGCGCUAGGUGUGGGGGACAUUCCACGUCCUCCGUGCCGCAGCUAACGCAUUAAGCGCCCCGCCUGGGGAGUACGGCCGCAAGGCUAAAACUCAAAGGAAUUGACGGGGGCCCGCACAAGCGGCGGAGCAUGCGGAUUAAUUCGAUGCAACGCGAAGAACCUUACCUGGGUUUGACAUAUAGGGAA